rnacentral:rRNA from 1 species
UUCCCCCUUCGGGGGGACAGGGUGACAGGUGGUGCAUGGUUGUCGUCAGCUCGUGUCGUGAGAUGUUGGGUUAAGUCCCGCAACGAGCGCAACCCUCGACCUUAGUUGCCAGCAUUCAGUUGGGCACUCUAAGGUGACUGCCGGCUAAAAGUCGGAGGAAGGUGGGGAUGACGUCAAAUCAUCAUGCCCCUUAUGACCUGGGCUACACACGUGCUACAAUGGGCGGUACAAAGGGUCGCGAACCCGCGAGGGGGAGCCAAUCCCAGAAACCCGAUCGUAGUCCGGAUUGCAGGCUGCAACUCGCCUGCAUGAAGUCGGAAUCGCUAGUAAUCGCGGAUCAGCAUGUCGCGGUGAAUACGUUCCCGGGUCUU